rnacentral:rRNA from 1 species
UAGGGAAUCUUGCGCAAUGGGCGAAAGCCUGACGCAGCCAUGCCGCGUGAAUGAUGAAGGUCUUAGGAUUGUAAAAUUCUUUCACCGGGGAAGAUAAUGACGGUACCCGGAGAAGAAGCCCCGGCUAACUUCGUGCCAGCAGCCGCGGUAAUACGAAGGGGGCUAGCGUUGCUCGGAAUUACUGGGCGUAAAGGGCGCGUAGGCGGAUAUCUAAGUUGGGGGUGAAAGCCCGGGGCUCAACCUCGGAAUAGCCUUCAAUACUGGAUAUCUUGAGUUCGGGAGAGGUGAGUGGAAUGCCGAGUGUAGAGGUGAAAUUCGUAGAUAUUCGGCGGAACACCAGUGGCGAAGGCGACUCACUGGCCCGAUACUGACGCUGAGGCGCGAAAGCGUGGGGAGCAAACAGGAUUAGAUACCCUGGUAGUCCACGCCGUAAACGAUGAGUGCUAGUUGUCGGCAUGCAUGCAUGUCGGUGACGCAGCUAACGCAUUAAGCACUCCGCCUGGGGAGUACGGUCGCAAGAUUAAAACUCAAA